GGAAUAUAAGAAUCCGUCUCUUAAGUUUUAACUAAAAAAGUUAAGAACCAAUUCUUAAAACUCUUAUUUAAGAACCGAUUCUUAGCAUUUUUUAGUUAAAACUUAAGAGACGGGUUCUUAUAUUCC
rfam:Brassica napus, WGS project CCCW01000000 data, contig: 17050